rnacentral:rRNA from 1 species
CGGACGGGUGAGUAAUGAAUAGGAAUCUGCCUAGUAGUGGGGGGACAACCUGGUGAAAACCAGGCUAAUACCGCAUACGCCCUACGGGGGAAAGGGGGCUUCGGCUCUCGCUAUUAGAUGAGCCUAUUUCUGAUUAGCUUGUUGGUGAGGUAAUGGCUCACCAAGGCGACGAUCAGUAGCUGGUCUGAGAGGAUGAUCAGCCACACUGGGACUGAGACACGGCCCAG